rnacentral:sRNA from 1 species
ACGGGUAACGGAAGUGUGGCGGCCUUGGGUUGAGCGGGCUUUUUGGAAGUUUGUGGCGAAGUUCUGUGAUAUGAGCAACAAUGGACCAGAAGAUUUUAUCUCUAGCAGCAGAAAAAACAGCAGACAAACUGCAAGAAUUUCUUCAAACCCUGAGAGAAGUUGACUAAUCUCCUUCAGAAUCAAGCAGUGAAAGGAAAAGUUGCUGGAGCACUCCUGAGAGCCAUCUUCAAAGGUUCCCCCUGCUCUGAGGAAGCUGGAACACUUAGGAGACGUAAGAUAUACACU